rnacentral:rRNA from 1 species
GUGUCAGCCGCCGCGGUAAGACAGAGGGUGCGAACGUUGCUCGGAAUCACUGGGCGUAAAGCGCGUGUAGGCGGGCGAUCAAGUCAGGUGUGAAAUCCCUGGGCUCAACCCAGGAACUGCAUCUGAAACUGGUCACCUUGAGUGUUGGAGAGGGAAGCGGAAUUCCUGGUGUAGAGGUGAAAUUCGUAGAUAUCAGGAGGAACACCGGUGGCGAAGGCGGCUUCCUGGACAAUUACUGACGCUGAGACGCGAAAGCGUGGGGAGCAAACAGGAUUAGAUACCCCAGUAGUCC